UUAGAUUUAGUCUAGAGGGGAAAGCUAAGUAGUAUAGUAGUUUUAUUUAUAUGUUGUUAAUAUGUUGUUGUAAUCUCAAUCUUUUGUGUAAGAUGUGAGAUGAUGGUAACCCCAAACUUUUGAAAAAUAUUAGAGGGGUAGUAAGCUAGUAUCGUCCCCGUCAUUUGUGAUGUUAGGGGAUAUGUGUUUUCAUUUAUAGCAGUAUACUAGAAAAGAAUGUGUAUUGUAA
rnacentral:lncRNA from 1 species